UGAGGAAUAUUGGACAAUGGGUGGAAGCCUGAUCCAGCCAUCCCGCGUGAAGGACGACGGUUCUAUGGAUUGUAAACUUCUUUUAUAUAGGGAUAAACCUACUCUCGUGAGGGUAGCUGAAGGUACUAUAUGAAUAAGCACCGGCUAACUCCGUGCCAGCAGCCGCGGUAAUACGGAGGGUGCAAGCGUUAUCCGGAUUUAUUGGGUUUAAAGGGUCCGUAGGCGGGCUAAUAAGUCAGUGGUGAAAUCCUGCAGCUUAACUGUAGCACUGCCAUUGAUACUGUUAGUCUUGAGUAUAUUUGAAGUAGCUGGAAUAAGUAGUGUAGCGGUGAAAUGCAUAGAUAUUACUUAGAACACCAAUUGCGAAGGCAGGUUGCUAAGAUAUAACUGACGCUGAGGGACGAAAGCGUGGGUAGCGAACAGGAUUAGAUACCCUGGUAGUCCACGCUGUAAACGAUGCUGACUCGUUUUUGGUUUGUAAGAAUCAGAGGCUAAGCGAAAGUGAUAAGUCAGCCACCUGGGGAGUACGACCGCAAGGUUG
rnacentral:rRNA from 1 species